AACACCGGUUGAUCCUGCCGGAGGCCACUGCUAUUGGAGUUCGAUUAAGCCAUGCGAGUUCAGGGGGGCUUUGCCCACCGGCGGACGGCUCAGUAACACGUGGACAACCUGCCCUCGGGAGGGGGAUAACCCCUGGAAACUGGGACUAAACCCCCAUAGGUCACAGAUGCUGGAAGGCACUGUGGCUCAAAUUCCUUCGGGAGCCCGAGGAUGGGUCUGCGGCCUAUCAGGUUGUAGUUAGGGUAACGGCCUAACUAGCCUACGACGGGUACGGGGUGUGAGAGCACUAGCCCGGAGAUGGACUCUGAGACACGAGUCCAGGCCCUACGGGGCGCAGCAGGCGCGAAAACU
rnacentral:rRNA from 1 species